UACGGGGGGGGCUAGCGUUGUUCGGAAUUACUGGGCGUAAAGCGCACGUAGGCGGCUUUGCAAGUCAGAGGUGAAAGCCCAGGGCUCAACCCUGGAAUAGCCUUUGAGACUGCAUCGCUAGAAUUGUGGAGAGGUAAGUGGAAUUCCGAGUGUAGAGGUGAAAUUCGUAGAUAUUCGGAAGAACACCAGUGGCGAAGGCGACUUACUGGACACAUAUUGACGCUGAGGUGCGAAAGCGUGGGGAGCAAACAGG
rnacentral:rRNA from 1 species